GACGAACGCUGGCGGCGUGCUUAACACAUGUAAGUCGAACGGAAAGGCCCUGCUUUUGUGGGGUGCUCGAGUGGCGAACGGGUGAGUAACACGUGAGUAACCUGCCCUUGACCUUGGGAUAACUUCAGGAAACUGGGGCUAAUACCGGAUAGGAGCUCCUGCUGCAUGGUGGGGGUUGGAAAGUUUCGGCGGUUGGGGAUGGACUCGCGGCUUAUCAGCUUGUUGGUGGGGUAGUGGCUUACCAAGGCUUUGACGGGUAGCCGGCCUGAGAGGGUGACCGGCCACAUUGGGACUGAGAUACGGCCCAGACUCCUACGGGAGGCAGCAGUGGGGAAUAUUGCACAAUGGGCGGAAGCCUGAUGCAGCAACGCCGCGUGCGGGAUGACGGCCUUCGGGUUGUAAACCGCUUUCGCCUGUGACGAAGCGUGAGUGACGGUAAUGGGUAAAGAAGCACCGGCUAACUACGUG
rnacentral:rRNA from 1 species